rnacentral:rRNA from 1 species
GGACCCGCACAAGCAGCGGAGCAUGUGGUUUAAUUCGAAGCAACGCGAAGAACCUUACCAGGGCUUGACAUCCUUCUGACAGACGUGUAACGGCGUUUUCCUACGGGCAGAAGAGACAGGUGGUGCAUGGUUGUCGUCAGCUCGUGUCGUGAGAUGUUGGGUUAAGUCCCGCAACGAGCGCAACCCUUGCUGUCAGUUGCCAUCGGGUAGAGCCGGGCACUCUGGCGGGACUGCCGGGGAUAACUCGGAGGAAGGUGGGGAUGACGUCAAAUCAUCAUGCCCCUUAUGUUCUGGGCUACACACGUGCUACAAUGGCCGGUACAAUGGGAAGCGAAGUCGUGAGGCGGAGCAAAUCACCAAAACCGGUCCCAGUUCGGAUUGCAGGCUGAACCCGCCUGCAUGAAGUCGGAGUUGCUAGUAAUCGCAGAUCAGAAUGCUG